UACGUAGGGUGCAAGCGUUGUCCGGAAUUAUUGGGCGUAAAGAGCUCGUAGGCGGUUUGUUGCGUCGGCUGUGAAAUCCCGAGGCUCAACCUCGGGGUCCUGCAGUCGAUACGAGCAAACUAGAGUGUUGCAGGGGAGACUGGAAUUCCUGGUGUAGCGGUGAAAUGCGCAGAUAUCAGGAGGAACACCGGUGGCGAAGGCGGGUCUCUGGGCAACAACAUGACGCUGGAGGAGCGAAAGCCGUGGGGAGCGAACAGG
rnacentral:rRNA from 1 species